AGUGAACGCUGGCGGUAGGCCUAACACAUGCAAGUCGAACGGCAGCACAGUAAGAGCUUGCUCUUACGGGUGGCGAGUGGCGGACGGGUGAGGAAUACAUCGGAAUCUACUUUUUCGUUGGGGAUAACGUAGGGAAACUUACGCUAAUACCGCAUACGACCUACGGGUGAAAGCAGGGGAUCUUCGGGCCUUGCGCGAUUGAAUGAGCCGAUGUCGGAUUAGCUAGUUGGCGGGGUAAAGGCCCACCAAGGCGACGAUCCGUAGCUGGUCUGAGAGGAUGAUCAGCCACACUGGAACUGAGACACGGUCCAGACUCCUACGGGAGGCAGCAGUGGGGAAUAUUGGACAAUGGGCGCAAGCCUGAUCCAGCCAUACCGCGUGGGUGAAGAAGGCCUUCGGGUUGUAAAGCCCUUUUGUUGGGAAAGAAAAGCAGCAGGUUAAUACCCCGCUGUUCUGACGGUACCCAAAGAAUAAGCACCGGCUAACUUCGUG
rnacentral:rRNA from 1 species